AGUAAGGAAUAUUGGUCAAUGGGCGCAAGCCUGAACCAGCCAUGCCGCGUGCAGGAAGACGGCCCUAUGGGUUGUAAACUGCUUUUAUCAGGGAAUAAACCUUUGUACGUGUACAGAGCUGAAGGUACCUGAAGAAUAAGCAUCGGCUAACUCCGUGCCAGCAGCCGCGGUAAUACGGAGGAUGCAAGCGUUAUCCGGAUUCAUUGGGUUUAAAGGGUGCGCAGGCGGAUUGGUAAGUCAGGGGUGAAAUCCCACAGCUCAACUGUGGAACUGCCUUUGAUACUGUCAGUCUAGAGUAUAGUUGAAGUGGGCGGAAUGUGUCAUGUAGCGGUGAAAUGCUUAGAUAUGACACAGAACACCGAUCGCGAAGGCAGCUCGCUAAGCUAUAACUGACGCUCAUGCACGAAAGCGUGGGGAUCAAACAGGAUUAGAUACCCUGGUAGUCCACGCCGUAAACGAUGAUUACUCGAUGUUGGCGAUACACAGUCAGCGUCUGAGCGAAAGCAAUAAGUAAUCCACCUGGGGAGUACGAUCGCAAGAUUGAAACUCAAAGGAAUUGACGGGGGCCCGCACAAGCGGAGGAGCAUGUGGUUUAAUUCGAUGAUACGCGAGGAACCUUACCUGGGCUCGAACGUAAGAUGACUGUAGGUGAAAGCUUACAUCCCUUCGGGGCAUUUUACGAGGUGCUGCAUGGUUGUCGUCAGCUCGUGCCGUGAGGUGUCGGGUUAAGUCCCAUAACGAGCGCAACCCCUAUCUUUAGUUGCCAUCAGGUAAUGCUGGGGACUCUAAAGAAACUGCCUACGCAAGUAGUGAGGAAGGCGGGGAUGACGUCAAAUCAGCACGGCCCUUACGUCCAGGGCUACACACGUGCUACAAUGGCCGAUACAGAGGGCAGCUACCAGGCGACUGGAUGCAAAUCUCCAAAGUCGGUCUCAGUUCGGAUCGGAGUCUGCAACCCGACUCCGUGAAGUUGGAUUCGCUAGUAAUCGCAUAUCAGCCAUGAUGCGGUGAAUACGUUCCCGGGCCUUGUACACACCGCCCGUCAAGCCAUGGAAGUUGGGGGGACCUAAAGUCGAUAACCGCAAGGAGUCGCCUAGGGUAAAACCAAUGACUGGGGCU
rnacentral:rRNA from 1 species